UGAAUACGAGAUGCUACGGCGUCGAAGCAGUCUAUGUCAUACUUCCAAGAAAAGCUCGCACUGUCAUAAACAAAUAAUGCCUGUACCAUAACCGACACAGGUGGGUAGGUAGAGUAUACUAAGGGGCGCGAGAUAACUCUCUCUAAGGAACUCGGCAAAAUGACUCCGUAACUUCGGGAGAAGGAGUGCCUUAUUUAUAAGGUUGCAAUAACAAGAUCCAAGCAACUGUUUAUCAAAAACACAGGUCUCCGCUAAGUCGUAAGACGAUGUAUGGGGGCUGACGCCUGCCCAGUGCCAGAAGGUUAAAGAAGUUGGUUAGCAUUCGCGAAGCUGAUAACUGAAGCCCUGGUGAACGGCGGCCGUAACUAUAACGGUCCUAAGGUAGCGAAAUUCCUUGUCGGGUAAGUUCCGACCCGCACGAAAGGCGUAAUGAUUUGGAUACUGUCUCGGAGAGGGGCUCGGUGAAAUAGACUUGUCUGUGAAGAUGCGGACUACCUGCACCAGGACAGAAAGACCCUAUGAAGCUUUACUGUAACUUGAGAUUGAAAUUGGACUUUACUUGCGCAGUAUAGGUGGGAGGCGUUGAUAAUAUUCUUGCGGGAUAUUUGAGCCAUCAGUGAGAUACCACUCUUGUAAUGUUAGAUUUCUAACUUUGUAUCAUUAUCUGGUCAAAGGACAGUUUCAGGCGGGCAGUUUGACUGGGGCGGUCGCCUCCUAAACGGUAACGGAGGCGCACAAAGGUUUCCUCUGAACGGGUAGAAAUCGUAUCUAGAGUGUAAAGGCAUAAGGAAGCUUGACUGUGAGACCUACAAGUCGAGCAGGGACGAAAGUCGGUCUUAGUGAUCUGACGGUGCUGAGUGGAAAGGCCGUCACUCAACGGAUAAAAGUUACUCUAGGAUAACAGGCUGAUCUCCCCCAAGAGUUCACAUCGACGGGGAGGUUUGGCACCUCGAUGUCGGCUCAUCGCAUCCUGGGGCGGUAGUACGUCCCAAGGGUUGGGCUGUUCGCCCAUGAAAGCGGUACGCGAGCUGGGUUCAGAACGUCGUGAGACAGUUCGGUCCAUAUCCGGUGUAGGCGUUAGAAUAUUGAGAGGAGCCUUCUUUAGUACGAGAGGACCGAGAAGGACAUACCUCUGGUGUACCAGUUAUCGUGCCAACGGUAAACGCUGGGUAGCUAUGUAUGGAGUGGAUAACCGCUGAAAGCAUCUAAGUGGGAAGCCCACCUCAAGAUAGGUAUUCUCAUC
rnacentral:rRNA from 1 species